AUUGAACGCUGGCGGCAGGCCUAACACAUGCAAGUCGAACGAGUGGCGGACGUGUGAGUAAUGUCUGGGACACUGCCUGAUGGAGGGGGAUCACUACUGGAAACGGUAGCUAAUACCGCCUACACUCAGCUGUGCCCAGAUGGGAUUAGCUAGUAGGUGGGGUAAAGGCCUACCAAGGCGACGAGCCGUAACUGGUCUGAGAGGAUGAUCAGUAACACGGGAACUGAGACACGGUCCAGACUCCUACGGGAGGCAGAAGUGGGGAAUAUUGGACAAUGGGCGAAAGCCUGAUCCAGCCAUGCCGCGUGUGUGAAGAAGGUCUUCGGAUUGUAAAGCACUUUAAGUUGGGAGGCGUUACCAACAGAAUAAGCACCGGCUAACUUCGUGCCAGCCGCCGCGGUAAUAC
rnacentral:rRNA from 1 species